AUCAGAUGUAUGAUUUGGGAAAACUAAUAAAAUUAGCUGUAACGUAAUUUUUUAAGUUAAUCCAAUGUCCUCCCAACCACAAGCACGACUGUCUGCUCUCAGUAUCUGAACUCAGGGGCUGGAGGUCUCGGCGCUGCAUUUAUCCACGAGAAACACAAACACACCAUCAAACCUGCGUGAGAGCUUUUUUCUUCUAAAUGUUUAAAGUUUCAGGUUUGUUUUUCAUUUCUGAUCGAGCUGCUGUCAUCAUGUUAACAUCCUGAUUGUUCUUCAGGCUGAUGGGAUGGUGGGGACACAACCUGGACACUCGCUUCCAGAUGAGCAACGCGUUGGAGCUGCAGCCCGGAGUGCGCGGCUUCAGACUGUCCAACCAGCCCAUCCUGCUGGUCUGCCCCCUGCAGGCCAGUCUGGAGGUGUUCAACAUGACCAGUAUGCAGGCGCUGCGCAGGAAGUCCGUCCUGCUGACGGGUUACCUGGAGUACCUGAUCCAACAGUAUUACACCAAAGACGCGGCGCAGCCUCACAAACCUCACGUCAGCAUCAUCACACCCUCCGACCCUCAGCAGAGAGGCUGCCAGCUCUCACUCUGCUCUCCAUCCACAUCCAGAAGGUCUUCCAGGAAUUGGAGAAGAGGGGCGUCGCUGUGAGUAGAUCCUCAAUAAAGAAAUCUCAUUAUUGUUUCCCUGUUCAUGAU
rnacentral:lncRNA from 1 species